GGAGACGUGCCAGAGCGGCCGAAUGGGGCUCACUGCUAAUGAGUUGUCCUCUUAACGGAGGACCGGAGGUUCAAAUCCUCUCGUCUCCG
rfam:Corynebacterium efficiens YS-314 DNA, complete genome.